CCUACGGGGGGCUGCAGUGGGGAAUAUUGCGCAAUGGGGGAAACCCUGACGCAGCAACGCCGCGUGGGGGACGAAGGUUUUCGGAUUGUAAACCCCUGUCCUAUGGGACGAUAAUGACGGUACCAUAGGAGGAAGCCACGGCUAACUACGUGCCAGCAGCCGCGGUAAUACGUAGGUGGCAAGCGUUGUCCGGAAUUACUGGGCGUAAAGGGCGCGUAGGCGGUACCCUAAGUUAGAUGUGAAAACCCGAAGCUUAACUUCGGACCUGCAUUUAAAACUGGGGAACUCGAGUGUCGGAGAGGAAAGCGGAAUUCCAAGUGUAGCGGUGAAAUGCGUAGAUAUUUGGAGGAACACCAGUGGCGAAGGCGGCUUUCUGGACGAUAACUGACGCUGAGGCGCGAAAGCGUGGGGAGCAAACAGGAUUAGAUACCCCAGUAGUC
rnacentral:rRNA from 1 species